GAACCAGACUCCUACGGGAGGCAGCAGUGGGGAAUAUUGCGCAAUGGGCGAAAGCCUGACGCAGCGACGCCGCGUGAGGGAUGAAGGUCUUCGGAUCGUAAACCUCUGUCAGCAGGGAAGAACGGUCACUGUGCUAAUCAGCAGUGAAUUGACGGUACCUGCAAAGGAAGCACCGGCUAACUACGUGCCAGCAGCCGCGGUAAUACGUAGGUGGCGAGCGUUGUCCGGAAUUACUGGGUGUAAAGGGAGCGUAGGCGGGAGUGCAAGUUGAGUGUAUAAACUAUCGGCUCAACUGAUAGAAGCGUUCAAAACUGCACUUCUUGAGUGAAGUAGAGGCAGGCGGAAUUCCUAGUGUAGCGGUGAAAUGCGUAGAUAUUAGGAGGAACACCAGUGGCGAAGGCGGCCUGCUGGGCUUUAACUGACGCUGAGGCUCGAAAGCGUGGGUAGCAAACAGGAUUAGAUACCCUAGUA
rnacentral:rRNA from 1 species